CCCAAGGCACUGGCCUCUGUUGCCAUGGCUGCCCUUAGUGUGGAAUAAACAGAGUUCUUUCUCCUGCUACCCAGCUUCCUGACACCCAAGUGUCUCUCAGGGAUGGGCUGUAACUUCAGGUGACCAGCCCCCACCUCACUGGGGGAGGCUCAAGGAUGGCAUUGGUUUGGAGGUGAGCAUGUGACCUAAGUCAGCCCAGGGAGAGUCAGCCUUGGAUGUUAGCUGGAAAGAGCUCCCGUGGUGGUCAUCCUGAAACCUGGAGAAAGCCUGCCUGAAGAUGAAGCUAACACGGAAGGAAACAGAGCCAGAGCCAAGAGAAGUAGAGAAUGACAGGGUCCUGAAGACGUCACCACACCCUUCAUCCGGUCAGGCCAAAAGCCAGAGGCAUCCCUGAACUUCCCAUUUGUGAGAGCAAAUAAAUGAUCAUUUAUGCUGAA